UACAGAGGAUCCAAGCGUUAUCCGGAUUUAUUGGGUUUAAAGGGUGCGCAGGCGGAAGAUUAAGUCGGCGGUGAAAUUUUGCAGCUCAACUGUAAAAGUGCCAUCGAUACUGGUUUUCUUGAGUGUGGAUGAAGUAGGCGGAAUUUGUGGUGUAGCGGUGAAAUGCAUAAAUAUCACGAGGAACUCCGAUUGCGCAGGCAGCUUACUAGGCCAUAACUGACGCUCAGGCACGAAGGCGUGGGGAUCAAACAGGAUUAGA
rnacentral:rRNA from 1 species